rnacentral:rRNA from 1 species
GGGGGGGGGCAGGCUACACAUGCAAGUCGAGCGGUAGCACAGAGAGCUUGCUCUCGGGUGACGAGCGGCGGACGGGUGAGUAAUGUCUGGGAAACUGCCUGAUGGAGGGGGAUAACUACUGGAAACGGUAGCUAAUACCGCAUAAUGUCGCAAGACCAAAGUGGGGGACCUUCGGGCCUCAUGCCAUCAGAUGUGCCCAGAUGGGAUUAGCUAGUAGGUGGGGUAACGGCUCACCUAGGCGACGAUCCCUAGCUGGUCUGAGAGGAUGACCAGCCACACUGGAACUGAGACACGGUCCAGACUCCUACGGGAGGCAGCAGUGGGGAAUAUUGCACAAUGGGCGCAAGCCUGAUGCAGCCAUGCCGCGUGUGUGAAGAAGGCCUUCGGGUUGUAAAGCACUUUCAGCGGGGAGGAAGGCGAUGAGGUUAAUAACCUUGUCGAUUGACGUUACCCGCAGAAGAAGCACCGGCUAACUCCGUGCCAGCAGCCGCGGUAAUACGGAGGGUGCAAGCGUUAAUCGGAAUUACUGGGCGUAAAGCGCACGCAGGCGGUCUGUCAAGUCGGAUGUGAAAUCCCCGGGCUCAACCUGGGAACUGCAUUCGAAACUGGCAGGCUAGAGUCUUGUAGAGGGGGGUAGAAUUCCAGGUGUAGCGGUGAAAUGCGUAGAGAUCUGGAGGAAUACCGGUGGCGAAGGCGGCCCCCUGGACAAAGACUGACGCUCAGGUGCGAAAGCGUGGGGAGCAAACAGGAUUAGAUACCCUGGUAGUCCACGCCGUAAACGAUGUCGAUUUGGAGGUUGUGCCCUUGAGGCGUGGCUUCCGGAGCUAACGCGUUAAAUCGACCGCCUGGGGAGUACGGCCGCAAGGUUAAACUCAAAUGAAUUGACGGGGGCCCGCACAAGCGGUGGAGCAUGUGGUUAAUUCGAUGCACGCGAGAACCUUACUGGUCUGCCUCCAAGACUUUCAGAGAUGAUUGUGCUUCGGACUGGGAACAGUGCUGCUGCUGUCUCACUCUGGUUGGAAAUGUGGGUAAUCCCGACAAGGCACCUUUCUUUGUGCACG